rnacentral:rRNA from 1 species
GACGAACGCUGGCGGCGUGCUUAACACAUGCAAGUCGUACGGUAAGGCCCUUUCUGGGGUUCACGUGUGGCGAACGGGUGUGUAACACGCCUGUAACCUUCCCUCAACUUUGGGAUAACGCUAGGAAACUGGUGCUAAUAAUGGCAUUGUUCUUCUGCUGCAUGGUGGGGGUUGGACAGCCCCGGCGGUUUUGGAUGGACUGGCGGCCUAUUAGCUAGUUGGUGGGGUAGUGGCCUACCAAGGCGGCGACGGGUAGCCGGACUGAGAGGGUGACCGGCCACACUGGGACCGAGAGAAGGCCCAGGUUGCGACGGGUGGAAGAAGGGGGGAAGAUUGAACAAGGGGCGCAAGGCGGAUGCAGAAGGGCCGCGGGCGGGAAGACGGCCUUAGGGUUGAAGAACGGCUUUAGCAGGGACGAAGCUUGUUGUGACGGUACCUGCAGAAGAAGCACCGGCUAACUACGUG